CACGUAGGGCGCAAGCGUUGUCCGGAAUUAUUGGGCGUAAAGAGCUCGUAGGCGGUCUGUUGCGUCCGCUGUGAAAAACUCGGGGGCUUAACCCCCGAGCCUGCAGUGGAUACGGGGCAGACUAGAGGUAGGUAGGGGGGAGAAUGGAAAUUCCCGGUGUAGCGGUGAAAAAUGCGCAGAUAUCGGGAGGAACACCGGUG
rnacentral:rRNA from 1 species